rnacentral:rRNA from 2 species
GACGAACGCUGGCGGCGUGCCUAAUACAUGCAAGUCGAGCGGACGGAUGGGAGCUUGCUCACACGUCAGCGGCGGACGGGUGAGUAACACGUGGGCAACCUGCCUGUAAGACUGGGAUAACUCCGGGAAACCGGGGCUAAUACCGGAUAAUGCUUUUCCUCGCAUGAGGAAAAGCUGAAAGAUGGCAUCUCGCUAUCACUUACAGAUGGGCCCGCGGCGCAUUAGCUAGUUGGUGAGGUAACGGCUCACCAAGGCGACGAUGCGUAGCCGACCUGAGAGGGUGAUCGGCCACACUGGGACUGAGACACGGCCCAGACUCCUACGGGAGGCAGCAGUAGGGAAUCUUCCGCAAUGGACGAAAGUCUGACGGAGCAACGCCGCGUGAGUGAUGAAGGUUUUCGGAUCGUAAAACUCUGUUGUCAGGGAAGAACAAGUACCGGAGUAACUGCCGGUACCUUGACGGUACCUGACCAGAAAGCCACGGCUAACUACGUGCCAGCAGCCGCGGUAAUACGUAGGUGGCAAGCGUUGUCCGGAAUUAUUGGGCGUAAAGCGCGCGCAGGCGGUUCCUUAAGUCUGAUGUGAAAGCCCCCGGCUCAACCGGGGAGGGUCAUUGGAAACUGGGGAACUUGAGUGCAGAAGAGAAGAGUGGAAUUCCACGUGUAGCGGUGAAAUGCGUAGAGAUGUGGAGGAACACCAGUGGCGAAGGCGACUCUUUGGUCUGUAACUGACGCUGAGGCGCGAAAGCGUGGGGAGCAAACAGGAUUAGAUACCCUGUAGUCCACGCCGUAAACGAUGAGUGCUAAGUGUUAGAGGGUUUCCGCCCUUUAGUGCUGCAGCAAACGCUUUAAGCACUCCGC